AGUUUACUCAUGGGCCAAAAGGUUUGCUUUAGAAGUACUUGUUCAUGUCAAAAUUACUGAGUUUUGCAAAGUGAAGUUGACUACAUUCCUAUACAAAUUCCUCAGUAAGCCUUUAAAAGGGUAUUUUAAGAAUUUUGUUUUUUAGAAGUGUGAUUGUCUUUGGGCAAUUAUCUUUAAAACAGUAAUUUUAUACUUAUUUUGAAGGCAUUAACUUCUCAUCUAAAACUCAAGGGUUUUUUUUUUUUGUUUUGUUUUUGUUUUUUGUUUGUUUUGUUUUUUUGUGUUUUGCUUUGUUUUUUUAGAUAUGACCAAUAUGACUCCUUCAAAAAGUAAUGUUAAAAGCUUUCUUUUUAAUAAAUUAAUUGAGUUUAGGUUUUGAGCUCUUAGAAAAUUUAUUCUAUAUUCUACAUAGUCUGUAAAAAUGUCAUGUAGCCCUUUAGAAAGGAGUCGCUAGUUUAACUUUACAGGAUAUUUUUGAAGCCUUUAAUAUAGUUAAAUUAUUGUAUGUAUUUUCAAUCUUAAGUAUAUUUUCAAUUUGUGACUUGAAAGCAUCUUUUGGACACAUGAGUAAGAUUUUCUUGGGCUCUUCUUUCAGAAGUUUUAUAAAAUGAGGACAGAGGCACUUUGUUAGGCAUGGUUUAUUUAUACACAUGUGUAAGUGUCCCUGAUUGGCCACUUUGAUGACAAAAUCUGACAGUAUAUCACCAUCUGCUAUUUCCAUAUUCUAUGUAAAUAAAUGAACUGAGAAUUUCCAUUGAUUGCAAUACCAUGCUUCUUGCCUAAUAUGUGCACCAUCCAGGAUGAUUACUACUUAUAAUUCAUUGCAAUUUAAAAAAAAAUCAAAGGACCACCCAUAUUCUGUUUUGCUCAAUGGCAAAUAUUUUCAGAAUCCAUUCUUAGAAAAAUUACAAAGGUCUACUUGUCUUAACAACUAAAACAGGCCAUAUAAUUUUAGGGUAUACUUUGUAUUAUGCCUGUAGAUCUGGACAUCUUGAAUAUUAGUAUUCAUUAUAACAUACAGACUUAAUUUGUGCUCUGGUGGUGGUCCACAGGUUUUUGUAUAUGUU
rnacentral:lncRNA from 1 species